GACGAACGCUGGCGGCGUGCUUAACACAUGCAAGUCGAACGGAAAGGCCUUGCUUGCAGGGUACUCGAGUGGCGAACGGGUGAGUAACACGUGGGUGAUCUGCCCUGCACUUCGGGAUAAGCCUGGGAAACUGGGUCUAAUACCGGAUAGGAGCCAUUUUUAGUGUGAUGGUUGGAAAGUUUUUUCGGUGUAGGAUGAGCUCGCGGCCUAUCCGCUUGUUGGUGGGGUAAUGGCCUACCAAGGCGGCGACGGGUAGCCGGCCUGGGAGGGUGGACGGCCACAUUGGGACUGAGAUACGGCCCAGACUCCUACGGGAGGCAGCAGUGGGGAAUAUUGCACAAUGGGCGCAAGCCUGAUGCAGCGACGCCGCGUGGGGGAUGACGGCCUUCGGGUUGUAAACUCCUUUCGCUAGGGACGAAGCUUUUUGUGACGGUACCUAGAUAAGAAGCACCGGCUAACUACGUG
rnacentral:rRNA from 1 species